GUUUUUUUGUGUAAAAUUUAGUUAUUCUAGUUAAUAUUGCAAAAUCAGACAACGCCAGAGCAACCGUUGGAAUAAGCUGUUGGCCUUCUUCUGGAAAUCUGGAGGAAACAAAAGGUAUUUAAACAACAAGUGACUCUUUAAAUCAGAGUGUGUAAAGUGUUCAUUCAAGUCGCGUAAAAUUAUUAAAUUAUAAAUAAAAAAUGUGUGCUAAAAUACUUCAUCAUAAAUUCGCGUAAAUAUAUGUGAAAAAC